UUUCCAUCAGCAAGUACACGUGGACUGCCUAAGCAAGAAUGGUACGCCAAUUAACGAUGGAGAGAAAUGUGCCUUGAUGGUUGUCGUCGAAGAAAGGAAAGAGAACGUUAAAGAGACGUGUAUGGAAGGAGUUUGCAGGAAUGGCACCUGUACCAACAUCAAUAAAACCGACUGCUCUAAUAACAAAUGAAAACAAACGGCGCGAAGGAGUCCAGUACGCCAUUUCAAUAAAAGCUCUUGUAAGGGCGUUGUUGUGUUUACUGAAGGUAAAAGCUUUCAAUUGAAAUG